GACAACAGUACAGACUAACAGGGAAAGCGUGACUACUCCGAGACUAUUAUAUUACCUGUUUCUACCUUUGAUUUUCAACUUGGAACGCUAUUUUUUGUUCUCUCUUUGAUAUUGGUUUUUAAAUAUCAGAAGAAAAAAACUUUUUUUGAAGCUGAUCUUUCGUUUGAUCGCAUUAAUCGUAAUCGUCUCUCAAACGGACGCGAUCGACGUGUGGCUUUCCCAGGGUAAUUCCCCUCUGGAACAGUCUGCCUAGGGAUGCUGUCUGUGUAGAGUCAAUAAUUAUUAGGUGUUUCCAAGGAACACAAACACGUGGAAGUAUCUAUAUAUGGACGACGAAUGGUACUAUCCAUCUACGACAAACGGAUUUGUCAUAAACAUCUAUGAAAGACUUUGAAGAGUUUGUAAACCCACAAAAGAUCAAGAAGUAACUGGACAGAUAAGUAAUUGUAGCCAGCUCUAAUGCAGAAUAUGUCUUGUCGUAGUCAUAGGGACCUUUAGAUUCAAGGACGAGAACGAGGACCAAGUCUAACUUUUGCUCAUUGUACACAUGCUCAAAUCCGUGACAGUGAUGGCAUUGCAAUGUUGUUGCAAUCAAUUUCGUCAUCCCGGCCUAGUAUAUCAUAAAACAUAAAAGAUCUCAUUCGUCCAACACAUUCUCCAAGAAAAGUAAAGCUGAAGUCUCCAAUAUUGAUUUCUUACUGAACAUAGUGAAAAUUUGUAACAAAUUCAUCGCCUGUCAAUCUAAAUUAUGUAGUUUAGGCAUACUAACUAUGGCUUAGGUCAGCAUGAGUAUGACAACCAAAACAAAGUACCAGACUUCUCACGGUCAUGGCUUCACGCAACUAUCAUUCUUCAAUUUAUCAUACCAAGAAUUUUGUAAUUUAAUUGGUUCCUGCAUCCCCAGCCUGUUCGAAAGACACACUGAUAAUAUUUAUCUUUUGAAUGUGCUAUCCUGACAAACAUGAUGAAGGGGAUUCUGACUUUAUGGUUAUUCCUCCAUACUCAGAAUACUACGAAACUUAAUUAAAUAAGUUACUCAAUUCGUCUUACAGCUCUAGGAAUUUCCUUAGUACUGUUUAUUCCACUGUAAUACUAGAGGUCUACCAAAAAAUCUGCCUAUCUUAGAAGAUUAGUGAUACUCUUUAGAAAAAAAAACUGACAUAUUUGCCAUCUCAGGAACAAAGCUGCACAGUAAAUCUAUAAUUAACACUGAUAUACCUCAGUACCAUUUUAUCGCACUGACUCUGAAACAGCUGCUGGGGAUGCCACUCUUUAUAUAUCGAAGCUUAACAAUUUAAGAGCCAUACCCAGGGUAGAUAUAAAGUUUACUAUGACUCUAAAUGAAUCCUGUUGGGCAGAAAAUUAUUGCUUACAAUAACAAACCCGAUAUUAUUAUAGGAGGAUGCAUAAAGAUUAUAUAGAGAUCCUUCAGCUAAUAUGCCAGGUUUUUAACACAAGAACUAAAAAAUACAAAAAGUUUAAGUAAUAGGAAACAACAUGUCUAUAUAAAUAGAUGUAAAUGUAAAUUUCCUGAAGUACAAUGAGCAUGCUAACACUGAAGAUUAUCUUAAUAUGCGUACUCUAACAAUUUUCUCCCACUCAUCACUAAACCCACUAGACUCACAGAUCACUCUUUCAUAUUUAUACUAAUGCCCCCAUUGAAAAUACUACUUCUGGUAUCGCUCUAGCUGACAAUUUAUCUCACCAUUUGCCAGUUUUCUGCAUCAUUCUGUAAUGCACCCACUUCUAAAAACAAGUAUAUAAAAUAUUAUAGAAAUUAUAGUUUAAUAGCUGACAUUAGUCAAAUCAACUGGCCAAAUUUAUACUGUACUCAACCUCCACUGACCUCCUCCGGAGGUCCCGUCUCACAACCCUUGUUGUAAAUAACUGUGGGACGUUAUAGAACCCACACACUAUUCGU